GGGAUAUGAUGAGUGGUCAAUACUCGCAUUAAAAUAUGUGAGAAGGGCGUUCAGGCUCAGCCUGGUUACGACAAUUUGGGCGCUCUCAAUUUUAUCAAUCUGAUCCC
rnacentral:snoRNA from 1 species